GUUGUCCCCCUGAAAACCAGACAGUGGCACCAGCCAAGUCUGAUUCUCAAUGCCAGCCUUCUUCUUCCCCCCAGCCCAGGGGCACAGAAGGGAGUUAACCAUAAUCCUUCUUCAUAAUAUUAUGUUUUAUUUAAUUGUUUGCUUAUAGUCCCUGUACAAACCAGCCACCAUAAAAAUGAGAACCCUGACAAUAACUUAUAUCUACAUAUGAGAUCUAUCCCUAGCCCAUCUCCUAGGUUCCUCCAACCUGACAUAAUCACCAUCUGGAAUCACUCCCUUGCUUUCAUAUUUAUUUAAUUGUAUCUAAUCUGUAUGCAUUCUAAAAAUAGAUAUUUUUAAUUUGUUCUUUAACUUUCUUAAAAGAGUAUCAUGCUGUAUAGAAUCUUUAUGACUUACUUAUUUCACUUAAUUUUGUACUGCUAUUUUUUUUUUUUUAAUUAGAGACAGGAUCUUGCCCAGGCUGGAGUGCAGUGGCUAUUCACAAGUGCAAUCGUAGUGCACUACAGUCUUGGACUCCUGGCCUCAAGCAAUCCCACCUGUUUCCUGAGUAGCUGGACUAUAGGUUCCCUGACCUCCCUGGACCUCAGUUUCCAAAUCUGCUGAUGGAGGAUGAUGUUUUCAGUGCCUACACAGCUCCCAAAGUGAAGAUGAUAUGGAAACUGGGUGGUGUCGAGGACGGUCACACAGAGCCAAGGAGCAGAAAUGCUUGCCCUGCUUCUGCCAUGGUCUUCACAGUGAGAGACAGGCAGCUAUGCCCCUGAAUUCUCCAGGACCUGCCAAGUUGGGCCAUUUCAGAGAGGAGAAACUGAGACUCGGAGCUAUGUAAUCAGCAUACUGGAGCAUAGAAAGCAGAGACAGGCAGAAGGCAAGAACUCAGAGAUGGGAAAGGAAUCCUGACCCACCCAGAUUGGCAAAGCCAUUGCAGACCCAUGGUUCUGGGGUUUUCCUGUUGGCUCGCAAAGUGAUAUCAAGUCAGAGGUAUUGUUUUCCCUUGUCUCUGCCAUUGAUAAGACAGAGAAAAACAGCUCCCAUGAUAACAUUGAUGCUGCCAGCCCUUCCUGCUACUGGCUUUCCUGGUUGGAGUCCUCUCCUAUGCUCCUUCCUCUCUCUCCUUCCGGACUGAGAUUCAAGCCGAGAUGCCUUGUGGGGCAAAGGAGCCGGCGGUGAGGUUCCCUCCUUCAGUUGCUUCAGCAGGCACAUAGCUCCUUCUGAUCUUGGACAAAGCCCAAAAGGCUCUGAGGCAGUGGUGUGCUGGGGCAGGCUCAUACUGACUCAUUAGAGCCAAUUGCUAAAUUUCGGGGAAUCUUGUAAGCCAAUUGUUAAACACAGUCAUUAUUAAAAAUUAGAUGAUAUGAGAUUGCAACUAAAUAAUUUAUACUUUUUUAAAAGUAAUAAACACUCCUAACUCAUCAUGUCCUAUUUACUUUAUUGCAUUUUACUGUUAACUAUCCUCUGGAGGUAAUUUACA
rnacentral:lncRNA from 10 species